UCCCAGAUAAACGUGUCUCCAGUCACACAGCAGCUCAGACAGAUGACCUCUCAUGACCCCAGUGUCAGCCUAUGCAUUAGCUGACUAACAGACCGUGGCCCCGCGUGUUGAUAUCCCAGAAUUCCCUCUGUUUCCACCUCAGCAGCUUGAAUCCUGGUUUCUGACCUGGAGUUGAUGGAUCUGGGUUACCUCUCAAGCCUUCAGGUCGUCUGACUGAGGCGCUGCAGCCGUGGAGGAAACUGAAACAAAAACCUUCAACUGUCAGAUCCAUCACAUCGCCUGCAGGCUGCACCGCCACAAAUACCAACAUGGAGCUGCACUUCGCUUUACACUUUUCACAGCUGCAAGCCAGAGGCUAGUGGAUGUCCAGAUAGGAGACGACAUUACAGAGCAGCAGCAACUGGUGGACACAGAGCCAGAGAUAAGUGAAUGUCUAAAAGAUUCAGAACAGCUGCGGUUUAAAAUUUGCUAUUGAUUUUUUAAAUUAUUUUAAUUGUAGUAGAGUAGUAAUAAUCUUUAAGUGACUUCUCAUUGCUGCUUUUAGUAAUAAAAGUGAAGAUAGAGCUGAAUGCAUCUGGAGUCAGAGCUCUGGAAUAAUCAGAACAGCUGAACAUGCAGGAUGAUCAGGGUUAGCACUGAUGCUAAGCAGCAACAUGACAGAAGAGACUUCAGGCAUGUCUGAGAAACUUCACACUGAUCUGGACAGAAAUCAAGAUCUGAGCUUUUUAUUAAUUAUUAUCAUUUCUCUUUUAACAGUUUUGCUAAAAUAAUCUUUGGUACGAUGCGUGGCACCACAGGAAACGCUCUCAGUCACAUCUACUUGAGACGCAUCAACACCUGUCUGACUGCAUGGACUGACCUCACCAUGUGAGAACAGUCAGCCAGUCAGUCAGUCAGUCAGUCAGUCAGUCAGUCAGUCAGUGAUACAAAACCAUGUUAAAAAUCUGGACUGGAGGCUCUGAGACAGUUAAACACUGGACAAUUAUAGGAAACAGUUUUUAUAAAAGUUUUUUUUUAACCUCUGCAGAUAAAAUAUGUUAUUUAGUUUUUAACAGCAGUUUUAUAUUUAAUAAUGUAGAAACUGCCCAGGUCAGCUGAUCCCAGAGCAAACAAGUGACUCACUUCUAGAACCUCACAGUGAAACAGAAAACUGGGAGGGAGAAACUUUACAGAGAAAAUGUUUUAUUCUCUUUGCUAAAGCUGAGAGUUUCCAUGAGAAUCAUUUUUAUUGAAAUCUGACCAGACCUGGUGAAAGUGAAGGUCUCUAAUGCAGAACAAAGAAACUGGAAAAACGACUUUAACACGAUGAAAUAAAAACUCUACAGGCAGCAUAGAGAUUUAAAAACUGUGACACGGCGAAGGAGACCCUGAAAGUCUGAAAACGAUAGAAGCAAACAGAGGAAAGAAAACGGUCUGAAUAUUUCCUAAAGCAGAAAACUGGAAGCAGGUGAGACAGUUCAUGAGUCUCUGUGGUUCAUAAGCUGUUAGAAAAACCUGAAACAAACUGAGAAUGUUUCCAUAGAAUAACGAACACUAAACAGAUUAACACACAAUAUAAUAAAAUAUAUUUUCCUUAAUAAAGUCCUUAAAAAGCUCUGGUGCAUUCAAAGAAAAACAGUUAAACAGCAAACCUCAUGUGACCUCUGACCCCUGAUGUUCAUGGAGGUUAGGAACCACAAACCAGACAAGAAUUUAUAAAACUGCCUCUAAAAAUCCUUAUAACUGCUUAUUUUAACAGGUUAAACACCAAACAGGCUUUAUGACGCGCAGUGGAAACGUCUGCUGGGAGUUCAGCCAAUCAGUGCCAAGCAAAAUUAGCAUAGUUAGCAUUGAGCUGCAUUAGCAUUGAGCUGCAUUAGCAUUGAGCUUCAUUAGCAUAGUUAGCAUUGAGAGGGAAUCCAGUGUGAGUCAGUGACAGCAGAUGGAUUUUGCUGUCGACUGAAUGUUUCUGUAAAUCCUCAGUGGAACAACUGAGCUGUUUAAACGUGUGGCAGUAAUGACCAUGUUGGAGAGAAGGUCAGAGGUCAAAGAUUCGAUGCGCUGAAGUGGCAGCUGAUGGAAACAGAGCUGAAGAGGUUGUGACAUCAGACUCAUUAAAACUUAAGAUAUUAUUAUGUUAAACACACACGGAGUGUGUGGCAGGCCUCGGUGCUGCCUGCCGGAUGAAUUAUGCAGACUGCAGUGGAUCCGUGUCUUAAAGAGCCACACACUCACAGAAACACUCCGGCUCUCGCUCUGACUCUCCAGACAGCCGCUGCGUGAAGCAGAGCUGCGCUGGAAGCAUCUUAAUUCCUUCUUCUCACUAUCAAACAUGAAGACCUGAGUUUAUUUGACUAAGACAAAACAACAUCCAGCAAAUUAAUCUCAGUGCCCAACACUUGUUUUCCUGCUCCUAAAAUCCUUCAAUACUUAAUAAGUUGAACCUCCAGCUGUGAAGGAGGAACUAUUAAUCCCACAAUGCAUUGCAUUUACCUCUUUCAGUUUAGCACCUCUGGUCAACGUUCAGCUCAGCAACCAAUCAGAGAGUCUCACCUGGCAGGUGUGACUCUGAACACAGCUCCAGUUAUUCUAACAAUAACUGGUCAUCUUCAUCUUCUGACACAUUUCAGACUUUCUUAUCUUCAUAAGAACGUUAAGAAGAGAUUCUGCUGAUAUUAAAACUAAUUAAGGCAGCAUACAAAAUGUGUUUACAAUUCUUUAAUAGGAUUAAUUAUUCACAUUUACGUUUGAUGUAUUUUAAGUCUUUUCAAUUAACUGAAUGUUUUAUUUAUAAGAUUAAUAAUUUGCUUUAUUAAAAAGUGUCAGUGAAUGCCUCCAUGUUUUUAUUAUCAGGAACAAAAAGGCAACAAUAUGUUUAUGAAUGUUAUGAAGUUGUAUUUGGGAGUUUAUUGACCUUUAAAAUGUGGAUUAUAUUUUUACAUUUCUGAAUGAUCAUUUUGGCUCUUCAUGUUUAUUUGUGGUUGAAUGUUUGAUGAGAAUCAGAGACGUUGGUUUCCUCUUCCUGUCCUACACAUCCCACCAGAACCAGAACCAGAACCAGACCUCUGGUGUAAAUCUCCCUCUGUCUCUCGCUGCCUUUCAUGCGGCUCUGAGGGAGAGGCUUAGGCUUAGAGACUCAAAUGGCUAAGUGAGGGAUAAUACUACCAUUAAAGAGAGAGACGGAGACGCAGACAGAAGGAGGGAGAGAAGGAGGGAUGGAGCAGAGAGGGAAUCAAAAGCCGCCGUUCAUAAAAGACUUAAAGAAGUUGAAAGAGCAGAAAAAAUAAUUCCUCUUACUGAGGUUUUAGCUAAAGUCUGCUGAUAUCUGCAUCACUGGUGAGGGUUGGAUUUGAACUCCAGUGAGUUUAAUAUUAUUUAUGCAUCACAACAGAAAACAGAAAGAAUAAAGAGGACAGGAAUGAAGGGAUGAAGGAGAGAAACGGAGGAGCAGAUCUACAGAUCCAGUCUUCAUUCAUCCAACCUGCAGAUUCUUUGAUUCAGAAAAUGUUUCUAAGUUUGCAGACGACCUCUGCUUUUUGAAACAUAAACGUUUCAGAUCAGCAAAAUUAUUUAAAUGUUUUUAAUUCAAUAGAUUCAAAUGUGGAUUCUUUAACUUCACAGAGGAGGAAUAUAUUCUGGAGCCAGUUUAAGGUCAGGUCAAACUUCCUCCACUUUAUCUCCCAACCAAACUUUGACUAGGACACUCCUGAAACACUUAAAAGCUCCUUGCACCAAUCUGAUGGUUGAAUAAUCUGGAUAACAGAUUACAAACAAUAAAUAUCUUUACUGUUGAGAUCCUGCAGCCUGAACAGCUAUGGAAGUAAAUAUGUGCCAUCAGAAUUUGAAUGAAAAAUGCAUCUGAAAUUUGAAUGUUGUAUAUUAGUGCUUACUUUUUC